rnacentral:misc_RNA from 1 species
AAUAGGUCUAUAUAAAUUGAUAUUGAUGAUAGUAAUAAUCAUAUAUGAUAGUAAUAGGCCUAAUUAUGAUAAUGAUCAUAGUCAUUCAGUUAAAUUCAAACAGGUUUCUUUAUUCAUUUUAUGAUAAUUAUCCUACUAAUGAUACAAACAUAAAAGUAAAUGUAUAUAUAGAGUGUCAACACAAACAUCGAAACUACGAUCAACAAUGAGAAAAAUCAUUGCAUACAUUACAUGACGAUAAAGAUAAUGAUGAUAGUGAUGAUGAUGAUGAUGAUGAUGAUAAUGAUGAUGGUGAUGAUGAUGACAAUUAUAAUGAUGAUGUUAAUAAUAUUAUGUUACUUGCUAUUUAAUCAAGUGAAUCAAGCGAAGUAAUUUUUUUUUUCAUUUGUAAAUGUGCUAACACUGUGGCUUCUCUGGUUCCCGUAGGUGCUUAAAGAGAACUUUGAGGGUGAAACUCCACUAUCAGCCAUCGCAAAGGCUCUGAAGAAACCACAUGAAACGAACCUUCCACUGGUUUAUAGACAUGCACACGUGAUCGACGAAGAGCUACCGACUAUGGUACGCAUGUUCCUUAGUGACGCCAAUUUUCCAGCAUUUGUUGGACAAGUCGAAAAAGAAUUGAACGCUAUAAUGCAGUGAUAUAAUAUGCAACAUUUUUUUUAUAUUUGUAUCAGAUGCUUAAUAAGCAGCUUACUAAUAAACAUUCUUGUCACAAAAUA